UAGGGAAUCUUCGGCAAUGGGGGGAACCCUGACCGCGCAACGCCGCGUGAGUGAAGAAGGUUUUCGGAUCGUAAAGCUCUGUUGUUAAGGAAGAACGAGUGUGAGAAUGGAAAGUUCAUGCUGUGACGGUACUUAACCAGAAAGGGACGGCUAACUACGUGCCAGCAGCCGCGGUAAUACGUAGGUCCCGAGCGUUGUCCGGAUUUAUUGGGCGUAAAGCGAGCGCAGGCGGUUAGAAAAGUCUGAAGUGAAAGGCAGUGGCUCAACCAAUGUAGGCUUUGGAAACUGUUUAACUUGAGUGCAGAAGGGGAGAGUGGAAUUCCAUGUGUAGCGGUGAAAUGCGUAGAUAUAUGGAGGAACACCGGUGGCGAAAGCGGCUCUCUGGUCUGUAACUGACGCUGAGGCUCGAAAGCGUGGGGAGCGAACAGG
rnacentral:rRNA from 1 species